rnacentral:lncRNA from 1 species
AACCCUCGAAUCUCUCUGGCCUGAACACAUUAGGCUCCUCCCAAUUGUUGGGAUCGUUUUGUAUAGCCCAUGCAUUCACCAACAACAUGGUUCCAUGCGGUAUACGGUACCCUCCCACUAAACAUUCUUUUGAUGACUCGUGAGGUACUAACAAUGGACCGGUGGGCUUGAUUCGGAAAGUCUCGUUAAUUAUGCAAUGAAGAUAAGGAAGAUUGGGCAAAUCUGAUUCUUCGAUUAACCGAUUUUGUCCGACCACUGUAUCGAUUUCAAUUCGGGCUUUGUUCAAGACUUGGGGAUGGUUCAAAAGGAAAGACAUUGCCCACUCUACUGUCCCUGAUGACGUAUCAGUUCCAGCCAAAAGUAAAACCUGUUUAACAUUUUCAAUAACCGAGUUAGGAUACUAUUUAAUGAGAGUAGACAUUAAGAACAAGAAAGCAAGAAAAACAAAAGCUUACCAUCAUGAGACUUCUAAUAGUUUCAUCCUUGUAAUUUUCAGGCUCUUGUUCUUGCAAAGACAACAUGACUUCAAUCAUGUUCUUUUUUUCGUCUGUGGAUAAACUACUUUUUUCCUAAUUUUCAUAUUAUGUCGACAUUCAUCAAUCAAUUCUUGUGUAAACGCUUCUCUUCUUUUGAACAAAUUGAUCAUCCUUUUCUCAGUUUUCUCGAACCACUUCACCAUCGGUAGAAAAUCACCCAUGUUCGUUGCACCAGCCAAAGAAAGGAUUCCCUCAUUAUUUCACGAAACCGAGUGCCUUCCUCGACGACAGCCACAUCGUCGCCAUAAUAUCUUUUCCCGGCUAUCAUCCGCAUCAUCAAAUUCAGCAUCAGCUCGAAAAGUCUGGAUUUCAAGUCCACCAUUCUAUCAUGAUCCUUGAACAGCUUCCGUAAGAGCAAACGGACUUCAUCGAGGCGUGUGGCGUAAAGCAAUUGGAGACAGUGCCCCGAAAGAAGUUGAAUCGACGAUAUACGCCUCAAGUUCUGCCAGUUAUCGCCGUAGGAAUCCCAGAUAAGGCUAGUGUAAUUAUAACCUAGAUGCUUUUCGUAUAAAAGUAAAGGGCGGUUGGCAAAGAUGAUGUCGUUUUUGGUAAAACAUUCCUCGGCAGACGAUGCUGAUGAGAUAACCACAACGGGGCGUGACCCAAAAUGGAGGAGAAGGACACGGCCAUGCUUGGCAGAGGUCUUGGCGAGGGAACGAUGGAGAGGCUUCUUGAGAAGUAAAUAGAAGUGGCCAAUUAAUGGUAAAGAGGGAAAAGGGGUGGGAGGAUGGUUUUGGAACUUAUGGUAUAAGUGGACAGUGAUGGAAUAAAGAGCUACAAAGAGGAGGAUUUGCAUAAACAUGGCUUGGCUGGCGACCAAUUUCAAUUCUCAGGAUUGUCCUAACUAUAAUUUAAAUAUAUUUAUUUAUAAAUUGGAGGAUUGUUCUUCUGCGUCAAUUUAAUUAGACAGUUGGAUUUGCACGCUUCCUUCCCCUCCUUGACUGCUCAAUAGUGGAAAAUUCAACCACACAACAAUAAAUGAGAUAAGAUUUGGUAGCUUUCCAUAUUUUCUCUCUCAAUGAAACUUCAACGCAAUUGCUCAAUUUUCAACAAAUGAUAACUAUUACAAAUUUAUCAUAAAAUUCAUAUACUAAAUUUCUAUUAAAUAAAGAAAAGCAUAGUUAUAAAAAACAUAAAACAUAUAUAUGCAUUAUUGUUUUUUUUUUUACAUUCUUUUUUAUGAUUAACUUUGAAGAUUAUAAAUUUAACAAAUUUAAUUAAUUAAUAUGAGUUAUCAAAUUAAAUUGAUCAAUUUAACAAGUUUAUUUGAUUAAUUAUGAAGUUUAUGAUGUUCUGAAUUCAUAUUAAAAUAUGUAUUGAAUUGAUAUCUUUUAUUUCAAUCAUUGGAAUGUUAUUUUAAUUAAAUAAAAUAUGAUUAAAAUAUCUUUUGAUGUUAAUUUUAAAUAUUUUAUUGAAAUAAUAUUUUAAUUAAGAUCAUUUUAUUUAAUAAGUUAUAAUUAAUAGGUUUUCUUAUAUAAAAUAGUUAUAAUUUUACUUAAAAUUUUAGAUAAUAUGUUCUUAUAGAAAUUUGUCGAUUGAAUCCUAGCUCAGUUGGCAUUGACAUUGUUGUCUAUAUAGGAAGACGUGAGUUUGAGUAUAUUAAAACCUAGUUUCCUAUUUCUUUUAGGUUCUUAACGUUCUUACCCUUUUUUUUGGCAAUUUUCGAAAAGGAUCUAUUAUGCUUUAAUUUCUAUUAUAAUUUGGUCCUUGUAUUUUUAUAAUAUUAUUAAAUAGUUAAAAUAAUUAAUAUAAUUAAUUUUUAGAUUAAAUUAAAUAUAAAUUUUUUUAAAUAAAAUAAAAUUAUAUUUUAAUCUUUAAAUUUUAACUUCGUAAUCUAACAAAAAUAAAUUCUAAUGUGGUGAUGGAAGAGGCCUGAAAGUAAAGUCAGGAAUACUGUAGCUGUACUAGGAACGCUUUAGUCUACGAUUGACUUUAUCAUAAUUAGUUCCUACACUUGCAUAUAAUCUAGAAUUGAUUUUCAAAAAUAUUUUUAAGAUCAAAAGUAUUUUCGAGUCAUAAAUAAUAUUAAAUAGAUAAUUUUUGAAGUUAGAAACACUUUCAAACUUAAAAACAAAAGUAAUUUUUUUCUAUUGUUGACAAAAAUAUUUUUAGGAAUAAAGAAUAAUUUUAACUCUUAUAAAGUAUUUUAUAUAAUAUUUAAAUUGACUAUGUAAUUAUUUUCAUAUUAAAAUUUAUUUUAAAUAUAUAAUAUUAUAUAUUUAAAUUAAAUUUUAUAAAUAAUUAGUAAAUUACUUAAAAAUAUUUAAAAUUUAUAUUUCAUAUAUUAAAAUAUUAACAAAAAAAUUAAAAUUUUUAUUUUUUACUAAAAUAUUAUAAUAUUAAUUAAUUUAAACAUUAUUUAGAUGCAUAUAUAUUAUUUUAUAAUAUCAGGUCUAAAAUAAAUAUUUUAUUUCUCAAACUUAUUUUUUAACAGUAAUACUAAACACUUAAAUCUUAAAUUAAAAUUUUCAAAUUUAUUUUUACAGAAAAGAAACCGAUGAAAAGGCAUAAUAUUAUUUUAUUGUAAAUUCUUUUUAAUUGAUUUGAACCAAUUAAGUCAUUAGAAUUUUAUGUUGUAAACUAGAUUUGUCCCCGUUGGUACUGUCCCAUCACAAUGAAAUUUUGCUACUCAUAAUUUUGACUUUUUUAUAAAAGUAACUCUAAAAAAUAAAUUAAUUAUCAAAAUAAUCCACCCUUUUAAUUAUGUACAAAAAUAACUUAUUUUCUACAGUAAAAAGUGGUGGAGCCAUAUGAUAUGGCGCCACCACUUUGCCACGUUAACCAGGGGUAUUAAAAAAUUUUUUUUGGUGGAGCCAUGUUGAAUGGCGCCACCAGUAUAAAAUAUUAGAAAAAUACUAAAAAAUCUAGAAAAAUGGGGGACUUAAAAAAAUUUUCAUUUUUGGGUGGAGCCAUUUUAAAUGGUGCCACUACUUUUCAGAUUUGUUAAGUUCUUUUUUUUUUUUACUUUUUUUACUUUUUUUCUUAUAUUUUGUCUCUUUCUUAGAUUUUUUUCUUUUUAAGUUUUAUAUUAUUUUCUUAAUUUAUUUUGCUUAUUUAAUUUAUAUUAUUAAUUUUAAAAAAUUUGUAAUAUAUAUUUAAAAUGUUUUAUAAUACUUUUUUUAAAAUUUUAAUUAUUAUUUUUAAAAAUAUUUUUUAACUUCAUAUAUAUAUUUGUGAAAUUAAUUUUUUAUAAAUUUUAAAAAUGUAUUUUUCAAAUUAGUUUUGAAAUUAUUAGUUUUAUAAUAUUUGAAAUGUAUGUUUAAUAUUUUAUUAAUUUUACAUACAAUUUUAAAUAUUAUUUUUAAAUUCUUUUUUUAUCAUUAGGUAUAUAUAUUUAAAGUUUAAAGUUUAAAUUAAAAUAUAUAUAUUUAUUAUAACUAGUCACAUCAUGUCAGUGAUGUGACUAUUAAUAAAUUCAAAUAUAAAUAUAAAUUUUAAAAAAUAUAUAUUAAAUAUUAUUUUAUAAAUAUUAAAUAUAUAUUUUUCUUUUUUUUACUCUUUUUAUUGUUUUGUUUUUCUUUUAUUUAUUAUUAUUAACUUUAAAAAAUUUGAAAUACUUUAUUAAUAUAUAUAUUUGUAAAUUUUAGAUAUGUAUUUUGAGAUUAUUUUUUAAAAUUUUAUAUAUAAUUUUUAAAUACAUUUAAAAAAAUUAUAAUUUUUUAAUAAUAUAAGAAAUCAUAAUCUUUUAAAUAUUUUUUAAAAUUUUUUCUUUUUCCUUUUUUUACUUUUUUGAAAUUUUAUGUUUUUUUUCUUCUUUUAUUUUGUUUAUUUAUUUUAUUAUCAAUUUUAAAAAUUUUGUAAUGUAUAUUUAAAAUGUCUUAUAAUAUAUUUUUUACAAUUUUAAAUAUUAUUUUUAAAUUCUUUUUUAUAUUUAAAUUUUAAAGUUUAAAUUAAAAUAUAUAUAUUUAUUAUAACUUGUCACAUCAUGUCAAUGAUGUGACUAUUAAUAAAUUUAAAUAUAAAUUUAAAUUUAAAUAUAUAUAUUAAAUAUAUAUUUUUUAUUAUUUUGACUCUUUUUAUUGUUUUGUUUUAAAAAAAAAGAUUUUGUUAUAUAUAUGGGUGGCUUGGUCCCCCUUUAUAGAUGAAAAAGUUAAGUGAGGAAAAAAAAAAGGUACAUUUGUUAAAAUUUUAUUUUUUUAUUUUUAUAUUUUAUAGUUAAUGUAAUAUAAUAAAUAAUUGUAUUGUAUGUUUGUUUUUUUAUAUUAUACAGAUUUGAAGAUGUCUUCUAGAGCAAAUACGGAUCACACUUCAUCGAUGAUCGACGAAACAGUAAAAUUUAUUAUAAAUUAAAAAAAAUUCAGUUCAGUUUCCCAAUUUUUUUUGUUAAUCGCUACUCUGUUGAACAUGUUUUGACUGCUUUAAAAUACUUAUCUCUAAUUAGUUGUUAUUUAGCUUCUGUUGAACAUUUUAGAUUAUUAAUUUGAUUAUACUUUGUAAUACUUUAUUUUUGUUAUAAUUGACUUAGAUAUACAUUAUUUGUAAUUGUAUUUGUAUACUUUAAAAAAAGUUAGUAGCACUCACCUCCAAACAUCUAAUUUAAUCACACAAAUUAUAAUAGAAUAGAUAUAUUAUAAAAAUAAAUUAGGAUAUUUUCAUUUUUUUAAAUAACUACCCCUUAAAAUCGACUUACUUAAAACUUUACUCUAUUUUUACUAAUUUUAUACUUAAUUUAUUAGACGGUGUGUAGGGAUUAAUACGCAAAACUAUUACUUGACGAGCUCGAUUUAUGAAAAAAAUUCUUUUAAUUUUAAUAUAUAUAUUAUUAAAACAAUAAUAAUAAAAGUGAAUAUAUUUGAUUAUUUACUAGUCAAUUUAUAAAUAACUAGAAAACAUAAGUAUUUGUUUAAAAAAUACUUUAUGUUUUUAAAUUUUAUAAUAUAAAAAAAUAUUAGUAUUCCUUGAAAAAUAAUUUUUCGCUAUUACUCACUUUAAAUUUUGAAUAAGAUAUCAUAAAAUUUUAAAAUUAGAAAUAUAUACGUAUUGUAGCCAUUGGUGUCAAAUUGAACUUGCUUGAACCAAUCAUCUUCUCUUGAGUUGCUUUUUGGUUUGGACUUAUUUUUUACACUGGUGGAGUUUGAGUUGCUGCUCAAUGAAUUUCUCUUUUCUUGUAAUUUUACUAGUUCCCAGUUCAUAUUCCUGUAAUUUCUCCCAUUCUUUUAUUAUUAAUAUAUUUAUUUUAAUUAAUUUAAUGCUUAACUAUGGUUAGGAUAUAAUAAUCACAUUUAAUUUCUACGUGUUAAUAUUAAUAUUUUAUGACAAAUUUUCAUUCUAUUAUUAAUAUAUUAUUACUUAUUUAAUUUAACUUAAAUAAAAAAAAUACUUAGAAUGGUUACGUUGGUAUAAUAUAAGUGUGAUGUUUUUGUUUUCUCAACCUUUCAAUUUUACUCUUCAAUAUAUUUUUUUAUGUUUAAAUUAUAUAGAUAAUUGAUUUAUCAUAUUUUUAUAAAAAAUUUACCAUACAGGAUGGUUAUCGGGUUUUGAGGUUACGGUGUCAUUUUCCCAAGUACGAUCCGGACGAGCGGAUCAUGCCAUACUUACGGUUGGCCGGAUUUGGGGACGUCACAUUGAUCCGGAGGUUUGACUUGAGGCCAAACUUACUAUUCGCCUUGGUUGAGCGGUGGUGUACGGAGACCCACACCUUCAUUAUGCCGUGCGGGGAGUGCACUAUCACAUUAGAAGACGUCGCUAUGCAACUUGGGUUACUAGUUGACGGUGCUGUGGUCACGGGUCGAAGCAAAGUGUUGGAACCUUCUGUAGUAUGCCACAGAUUGCUUGGACGGUCCCCUCGUGAUGGGGAACAGAAUUUCACAUGCUUGACAUUAGCAUGGUUGAGAGCAAAUUUUAAGAAGUUAUCGAGCACUGCCACUAAGUAGAAGGUAAUGUAUGCUGCUUGAGCCUAUAUUAUGCAGCUGAUUGGGGGGUACUUCUGCCGAACAACACGUCUAAUAGAGUCCACUUAAAGUACUUGCCUCUAUUGGAGGAUUUUUUUCAUACCGGUAGUUACAGCUGGGGAUCUGCAGUGUUGGCUGCAUUAUACUAUGAGCUCUGUCGUGCAACAAAACAUGGGGUUAGUAAUAUGGCUGGUUGUCUGGGUCUACUGAAGUCUUGGGCUCUAUACAGGAUGCCGUUUCUAGCGGCUGUUAGGCACCAACCAUAUUCGUGGCACUUAUAAAUAGGUAAAAACAAAAUUAUACUUAACAUUUAACGACUCAUAAGUGUGGGUAAUAUUUUUCAAAGUUUAACUGCCAACGUGUUUGUUUCGAUUUCAGAUGGGCGACGUCUCCGGGAAUUGGUGCGAGCCAGACAUUAAUCAUUUACCGUCAAAUGAUAGAGGCGUACGCCGGAGAGAAAGUAAUAUAUAUAUUAAUAUAGUUUAAGUAACGUUUAUUUAACUUAUCCACUUACAGUAUGUGAUGUGAAUUGACUCAUUAUGUUAUAUUGUGCAGUUAUUAUGGAUGUCGUAUUCUGCAGUAAACAUUGCAACCCUUAUUCCUCAGAGGGUUCACGCUGAAGCUCGUAUGUGGUGCAUUAACACGCCGGUGCUCAACUUCUCAAUCGUUGAGUGGUACAACGGUGAUCGAGUUAUGCGACAAUUUGGGUGUAAACAAUUUGUGCCAGUCGAGCCACAACAGUUUGCUAAUGUCCACGGUAAGACCAUGCAGGGGAGACAUACAUUAGAUUGGAGCGUGGAACAUCAAUGUUAAGUAGCACUAUGGAAUACCCAGUACAACAGGCGGCCUGAGAUGCACUCCUGCAUGUUUGACUUCAGUCCCUCGACUGAAUAUAUGUGGUACAUGAAUCGAUGGCGAGUUUAUUUAUAUGAUCGACAACUUAUGAUAGUACCAGGUCACGACUACAGACGUGGAAAUCAACCUACGGUGGAGGUAGAGGAUCAACAUAUGGCAGAGCCCGACUCGGAGGACCAAGUUUUAAACACAUCGAAGCAAUGGGUUGACACUUUUUGUGAUUUGUCCCAGAAUAGUUCAUAUAACCCGGACAUAGGUGGUUCGAGUUCAUAUCACCCGGAUAUAUGCGGUUCGAGUCCAUUUAACCUAGAGCAACCACCGACAUCAGUUGAUAUGUUUGGUAAUAACAUGUACUCCACCCCGCCUCAGGCCACGAUCGACCCAGUUGCCAAUCCUUCAGAUGUGUACAAUACACCUCAACGUCCACCCCGUCAACGAAGGCCCGUAAAUCGUUAUACCCCGAACGAUGAUACCACUCCUGGGUCUUUCCAAUUUUAAGUUAUGUAAAUUUCAAGUAUUAUGUGAUAUUUGUUGUAUUGGUUUAAGGUUUCACAACUUAUAUAUUAGUGUUUUUUAUUUAAUUUAUUAUAAAAUCUUUUAAAGUAUUAAAAGUUGCAACUAUUAAUUAUAAAUAUAAUUUUAACACUAAAUAAUACAAACUUUAUUUCUAAAAGAUCAUAAUAUAGACAGACCUCAGUUACAACAUUUAAUUUCUUUCAGACCGUGAAGAUUGGCCAGUGUAGACGCUUCUAUGGGGACAUUUGCUCCGAUUGUGGCCAAUUGUUCUACAUAUGGUGCAACGCUUUGGAUCGACUUGUUCUCUUACAUCCAUGUCGUUUCGAAUCCUCGUUAUUGUUAGUUUACCUUUGACUCUACUACGUAGUGACCGAUCAGGCAACAUCUCGAAUGCAGGCGAUUACGCUUCCCAUGUCGAUAUAUCCCUUAAUACAGGGAAAUCGUUACCCCAAAUACGCAACGUACGUUCAAGUGUGUAUACAUCAUCGAUAUAUUGUUUAACAUUCAAACUAUAGGUAGCACAAGCUGCAACCACAUGCGCACACGGGUACCGUAGUGCUUGGAACAUCCCGCACUCACACCGCCUGUUUCAGAGAUCAACUCCAUAGGAUCGUGGCCGGAUCCCUGACCGACGACUGAUAUACUUUGUCACUCGAAAAGUUUCCAAAUUUCGAGAAUAUAGUUCUACAUUCAUCAACCUAGCCCUUUGAGUGUUAUCUUUCAUGGCAUCUCUGAUUUUUUCGACGUACACGUGUCCGACCUCUAACUGUUUUGCUUGUUUCAACCCCAUUUUUGGUAUUAAGAUUGCUAACCUGUAAAAUGUAGCUGAAAAAACAGCUGAAAUUGGCAAGUGACGCGUAUGCCUUAAGACGGAGUUAACGGCCUCAACAAGGUUAGUUGUCAUAUGGCCAUAACGGUACCCCUCGUCAAAACAUUGAGCCCAUUGCCACGGCUCCAUGCUACUCAACCACUGUGUAAGAGAAGGUUUGCAGCCCGCCAUAUCAGUCUCUAAGCUCGCCAACUUAUGUCUAAAUCGGUGUGGUUCCAGCUCGUACCCUAUGUAUAUAUUCCGAUAAAAUGCUUUAAAAUUAGGAAAUAGACUAGAAAUAAUUACAAAUACGAAUUUAAAUACGAUAUUUUUACCCAUGUUGACAAUUCGUUUACGCCAGUAUUUGUUCUUAUACUCAUUGUGGAAGGUCACAGUGAAGUGACGAAUACAAUAGACAGACCUCCACGGAACCUUCGAUUGCCGAAUUGCAGCAACAAGACCCUUUGAUUUGUCAGAUAUAAUGCAAAUUUGUCAGAUAUAAUGCAAAUGUUAUCUUGCCUGACAACAUGCUUCCGUAAGUUUCGAAUGAAAUAUGCCCAUGAUUUAGAGUUCUCCGACUCUACGAUGGCAAAAGCGAUUGGUAGUACAUUUCCAUUACCGUCUUGUGCAACCGCAAUCAGAAGUAUCUGCGUGUAUUUUCCAUAAAGCCAUGUUCCAUCAACUUGCACUACCAGUUUGCAGUGGGAGAAGGCCCUAACACAUAGAUCGAAAGUCUAGAACAAUCGACGAAACACUCUUUUUCCCAGUUCUAAUUCUCCAUUAGGGCCUCUAUAAGGCAACGUUUGCAAGUCCACGACAGUUCCUGGGACAUACUCUACCAUUGCUGAAAUCCAACUCUGAAGUUCAUUGUAUGACUUAUCCCAGUCGCCGUACAAUUGUUGCAUGGCCAUUUGUUUCGCCCACCACGCUUUCCUGUAUGACACUCUGCACUGAAAUUGAGCUUGCAUGUCUGCAAUCAAUGUCGACACAAGAAUGAUUGGGCUAUCUUUCACUAGUGGCAUGAUGCAGUUACAAAUACUUUUGGCAUCCAAUUUUCGGUGGUCUUGAGACAUGCGUGCGACAGUACAUGUAUGACGCCCUUCUAAUUUUCGUAUUUGCCAUUGUUGAAUCCUCUGUAUAAAUGCAGCACGAACUGACAACCACACCCAUCGUCGGCUCUCCAACAUUCCCCAACGUAUAAUGUCGGUGUAGAUUUGGCAACCUUGUAAUCAAUCGACAACUUCAUGCUGUAUUGUUUGAUGGAAAACACACAAUCCGUCUUGUUCUUGAACUGUUGCCUAAUGAACAACUCGUCAAACUGUGAACUUGAUGCCAAUUUAUGAGCAGGUACUAUAUCAGCGUACUCAGGGAACUCGGAUGCAUGUGCUACAUCUGGAUCUACGUUCAACAUGUUGCCCCCAGGUUCAUUUCGUAAAAUAAUACUAUGACUCGGGUUACAGAAUGAAAGGCCGUGAACAUCUUCAACCUCCUUCGGGCCUUCAUCAUCGAUAUCGUUCGGAAUCUCAUCAACAUCGGGGUCACUAAAAUCUUCAACGUCUUAAUCAGAAUCUUCACCAUUAUUGGUCAUUUCUCUGACAUUUGUCUCAGUACUUAUUAUCACCUCCGGAUGUAUUUGUAAACAGGGACCGAGGGUUGGGUUAUUGUAUGAACUCCCACUAUAAUUAGGAAUUUUGGGUAUCUGCGACGUUCCACCGCAUUCUAAUUGGCCUGUCCAUCUAACAUUAAGAUCAAGAUCAAAUUCGCAAUGUUGACUUAUUGGGCUAACAUUCUCAACAGGCUCUAAAUCUGCUAACUUAGCAAAUAAUUCAACUGGUUGGGGGUUCACACUCCCAGUGGACCACCAUAUUUUCAUCAUAGUGCCCAAGUCAUCAUCAUCUAACAUUUGCAUCGCACAAAAUUUGAACGGAUCUGUAGAGAUUGGAAAAUUGUAAAAUAAUUUGGACAUCGCCCUUCCACAACGGAUAGUUAUUUUCGCACUGAUCUUCCUUUUCAUUUCUGCUAGCUUCACAUUUUUUUUAAUCGCAAACCUACUCUUUGCCGGCCUUGAAAUACACAACCAAUAUCACCUUCUACAAUUUCACCAUAAAAAAUAACAUACACCAAAAACACCUCAUUAUUCAUUUUUAACAAAUUUUUUAAACUUUUCCACUUAACACAACAACUACACCAUUCUAUACAUAGAAGAGAACCAAGAGGUGGAGCCAUAAAGAAUGGCUCCACCAAAAUAUUGUGAUUUUUUAGAGUAUAGGGGGCCCCGUAGCAAUUUUACCAUUUCCUGGUGAAGCCAAAUAAUUUGGCGCCACUAGUUUUCAAGUCUGACAGCUAACUUAUUUGUUUCAGCCUUUUUUUUAAAAAAGUUUUGACUUUCUUUUUUUCUUUUUUAAGUCCUUAUUUAUUUUAUUUAUUUCGAAAAACUUGAAAUUUAUUUUUUAAAAAUGUUUUAUAAUAUAUUUUUUAUAAAUAUUAAAAAUAUAUUUAAUAUUAUAAAACAUUUAAAAUGAUUUAAAAUAUUUUUUAAUAUUUUAAAUGAUUUUAAAUAUUUUUAAAAUUUUACAUAGAAUUUUGAAAUUUAUAAUUUUUAUUUAUUUUUAAAAAUAUUUAACAUUUUUUUAUUUUUUAUACAAAUUUUAUUUAAAAAUUUAAAUGUUUAAAUGUUUUAUAUUAUUAAAAAAUAAAAACAAAAAUAAAUUUGAAAGAUCAUAUCUUUAAAUUAUUUUAAUAUUUUAUAUUAUUAAAAUAUGGUUAAUAUUUAAAAAUAAUAUUUAUAAUUUUCAAAAAUUAAUUUGAGAAAUAUACAUUUAAAUUUAAAAAAAAUGUAAAACUGAUAUUUAAAAUUUUAACAAAUAUAUAUUAUAGAACAUUUCAAAUAUACAUUACAAACUUUUAAAAAUUAAUAAUAAGAAAUAAAUAAAUUAAAUUAACUAAAAUAAAUAACAAAAAAAUUAUAAAAUCUUAAUUUAAACAUUCUAUGUAAAAUUAAUAAUAUAUUAAACAUACAUUUCAAAUAUUAUAAAACUAAUAAACAAAAUACAAUAAGAAAAUAAUAUAAAACUUAAAAAAGAAAAAAAAUUAAAGAAAAAGACAAAAUCUAUGAAAAAACUAAUCUAAAUUUAAUUUGAAAUGUAUAAUAAAAAUAAAUAAAAUAGAUAAACAAAAUAAAAUAAGAAAAAAUUAGACUUCAAAAAACCUAAAAAAAAAAAGAAAAAUAAUUAUUUUUUUAAAAUUUUAAAAAAUUAAUUUGAAAAAUAUAUUUUUAAAAUUUAUAAAUAAUUAAUUUCACAACUAUAUAUAUAAAGUUAAAAAAUAUUUUUUAAAAAUAAUAAUUAAAAUUUAAAAAAAAUAUUAUAAAACAUUUUAAAUAUAUAUUACAAAUUUUUUACAAUUAAUAAUAUAAAUUACAUAAGUAAACUAAAUUAAGAAAAUCAUAUACAACUUAAAAACAAUCUAAGAAAGAGACAAAAUAUAAGAAAAAAAAGUAAAAAAGUUAAAAAGUUAAAAAAGUAAAAAAAGUAAAAAAAAAAUAUAAGAACCUGACAAAUCAGAAAAGUGGUGACGCCAUUUAAAAUAGCGCCACCUAAAAAUAGAAUUUUUUUAAGUCCCCAAUUUUUCCAUAUUUUUUAGUAUUUUCUUAGUAUUUUAUACUGGUAGUGUCAUUCAAUAUGGCUCCACCAAAAAAUAUUUUUUAAUACCCCUGGCUGACGUGGCAAAGUGAUGGCGCCAUAUCAUAUGGCUCCACCACUUUUUACCGUAGAAAAUGGGUUAUUUUUGUACAUAAUUAAAAAAAUGGAUUAUUUUGAUAAUUAAUUUAUUUUUUAGUGUUACUUUUAUAAAAAAGCCCAUAAUUUUCUAUUUAUGACUUCAUCCUAUCACUACUAUUAGAGGUGUUCAUAAUUUUAUUGCUUUAUUUUUGUUUAAAUUUGGUCUUGUUUAAAAUACAAGUUUAGAAUUUUAUUUAAUUUUAAUUUAAGCUCAUUUUUAUUAUUUUUAAAAAAAUAUUUUUAUUAUUUUUAUUUAACAUUUAAUUUUUUUAUAUAUUUUUUAUUUAUUAAAAUUUUUUAUAUAAUCAUAUUAACAUUAUUUUAAUAUUUACAUUAGAGUAGUAUUAUAUAUUCAGUAUAUAUUUAUUUUUUACUGUGCUGUAAAUUACAUAAUAUAUAAAAAUAGCAUAAUAUAAAAUAUUAUAAACUUAAAAACGAGAUGAAUUGGACUCGGACCUUAAUGUUCAAGCCUAGCCCAUUUUUUAAAUUGGCUUAAUUUUUUACCCAAAUUUAUUUUUCGAACCUAAUAUUUUUAUACAAACUAUCUCAAAUUUCGAACUAAAUUUCAACCGUAAAAAAAAUAACAGUUGAUCCUCCCUUUUAUUUUUUUACGGUUGAUAAAAACAAUUUAACCAAGAAAAUAUUAAAUGAGUUGUUGAUGGGGUUAUUAUUAUAUUACUUAAAAAUUUAGCACUUAAUUAUUAAAUUAAUACUAAAGUCAUUAAAUAGGGGUGAAACAUAAAAGUCUAGAAAUGUGGAGGUUGAAUAUUAGGCAUUCUAGAAGAUUAUUGACUUCCAAGUUCAAACAUGAUAAGGUCAGGAAAAACAAGACCUGUUUGUAGAAAAUAUAAAAAAUGUAAAGCGUAAAAGAUAGAAAUGGAGAAAAGUAGUGUGAAGGUCCCUUAUUCCACAAUUUUCAUUUCAAACAGGGCCCGCCCAACCCCUGACUUUCAUUUUGGUGCCCAUUGGCUAACAAGUUACCCACUAUCUUAAAUAGCUAUAUUGCUAAAUUUAGCACUUAAUAUUUAUCUUCUUUUAUCAAUUUCAUCCUUAUAUUUUUGUUAAAUUUGACUUUCGAUUUAUAUAAAUGGUCAACUUUGAUCAUUAAUUUUUUAUAAUAGAUUCAAAACUGUUUUUUUAAUGAAAAUAAUGACUUAAACGUUUAAUUUUUAAAAUUACAAUCAUGGGCAGGAGUCCUAGUAAGGGCUCUAAUCCCAUAAAUUUCAUAAAAUUUUAUUUAAACCCUUUUAAUUUUUAAAAUUUUAAUUUGAACUUAUAAUUCAUGUCGAAAAAUAGAUUGAAUUUGCGCUUGGCCCCUGAAGUAUUCCAAUGUUUUUUUUGACAUAAAGAUAAAUUUAGCCUCUAAUGUUUCCUUAUUUUGUCAUUUUGACUCCAAUUCUCUUUUUUGGGUCAUUUUGGCUCUCAACCUUUAAACUGACUAAAAUGUUAAAUUUUAAAUGGAAUUGACAUGGUAGCUCAUGUGACCUUUUACGUGUACUUCACUGCUAACAUGGAUAAAUUUUCUAAAAGUUUUUAUAAACUUUCUUUGAAAUUAGUUGAUUUUUUAAAUAUUUUUCAAUUCAACUUUAAUUUCUGUUUUUAUUUUAUUUUUCCAGAUCGAAAUUCUUAAUUCUAUUUUUUAUUUUUCAGGAACGCAAGUUUUCUUGGCCAAGAAAUUGUCCAAGAUUUCAAGAAACGAGCAUUCGUACAAUCCGGUCCCUGAGGAUUCUACCCUACUUCCCAUUUACUGUUAUUUUUACUAUUUUACAGAGAAGAGGAUAUUUUUGGUGCUCUCAACCACGCAUCACCAGAGAAGAUAAUCAGGAUGCUGAUAGAAUGGUUAAACUAGUGCAUUAUAAAUCUUAUGAUUUGUGCUUGUAUGAGACCUCCUCGUUGGGGGAGAUGAUUUAGGCUUUAUAAUUAGUUUAAGUACUCUUUUUGUCACUAAAAAUAUAUAGUUGAAGUACUAAAAUAAAAAAAAUGUAACACCCUCAUACCCGUACCCGAGACCGGGAUAGGAUACGAGGCAUUACCGAGAUUUUCAGAAUAAUUUCAAUUAAUUUAUAUUAUUUUGCAUUCAUUUUCAUGUUCAUGUAACAUCUUUUUCAUAUAUUCAAUUCAAACAUCAUAUAAAAUACAAUAUAAUAUUUAAAUUGUCAUAUUUACAUGCUCAUUCAAGUUAUACGGACCUACCUGACUAAAUUGCAGAAAUACCAAGAUUUAGGGGUAUUUUGGUAAUUUACCUUUUUUUUCAAUUUUCACCCAAUCUUAAAUUGAUAAUUUCAUUCAAUUUAUUAAUUUAGAUAAUAAAACAACUCAUUCCCUUCAAUCUUGUCAUUUUUGACAUUUUUAUAAAAUUACCCCCUAAAGUUUUACUUUUAUUCAAUUUAGUACCUGAGCCUAAAACAUGCAAAUUAGCCAUGCUAGCUGAAUAUUCAUAUAUAUUUUUCUCCUCCUCCUUUCCACUUAAUGUAUAUAUCAUGCUUAUAAGUAACAUUAUCAAUAAUUUCACUACUGACUUAUUUAUAUAUUCAAAACUAUCCAUCCGUGUCAUAGUCACUAAAUCAUUUAUAUCUAGAGCUAUGGUACUUCAAAUUAAGAUCCGCUAAUUUUCUCUGAAACUAGACUCAUAUAUCUUCUUACCAUAAAUUUUUCAGAAUUUUUGGUUUAGCCAAUAAGUACAGUUUAUUCUUUAAAUUUACCCCUAUUCUGCUGUCUGACAGUUCCAACCCUUCUUCACUAAGAAUUAAUUAUCUCAUCGUACAGGAUUCGGAUGAUGUUCUCGCUUAUUUCUCUUGAAAUAAACUCAUUAAGUAUUUUAAAAAUAUAAAUUUAAUCCUUAAUUAUUUUUCUCCAAUUUUUUAUGAUUUUUUAAAGUCAGAACAGGGAACCUGAAAUCAUUCUGACAUUGUCUCACUAAAUUUAUUAUAUCUCACAGUUCACAAUUCCAUUGCCUACACCGUUUCUUCUAUAAGAAACUAGACUCAAUAAGAUUUAAUUUCAUAUUUUUUUCAUACUCUAGUUCGAUUUUCAAAAUUUAUGGUGAUUUUUCAAAAUUAGCCUACUGCUGUUGUCCAAAACUAUUUUAGUGCAAGAUGUUUAUUUACCAUAAAAAAUGUAAGGGAUACCCAUGUUAGGGUAGUAAUUGGUUGGUCGUCUAACCGUGUUAGCAGUGUACUUGAUCUUAGGCACCUACUGGUCAUGCUCAAAAAACCAAUGAAAGAAGAAAGAGAUAAUGCUAGUAAAAGAUGUAUACAAUUAUUAAAUAUUAAAUAAUUAUAUUUAAAAAUAAAAACUAAUAUGUACGGCUUAAACAAGCAUAUGUAUCCAAACAGGAAGCUCUUCAUCUUAGUACUAGUUAAUACUCGAAACAAAGGGUUUAUAUUUGGGAAAGCAAGGGAACAAAUGGUUGGCGUGGUCGACACUUAGCCUGUAAAGGUUGAGCCUUGGGCAUGGUAAGGCCUGGCCCUUCGCUCAUAUCCACCAUCUCUUCACCUUUUCUCUCCCACUCAAAGCAUUGAAUCAGUGACCCCAAAGUUAAUCCAACCAUCCGCAUGGCUAACCCUUCUCCGGGACACCGCCGCCUCCCGUUCCCGAAUGGCAUUAACCUGAACGCGAAGUUCGACGGAUCUAAACCCUCGAAUCUCUCUGGCUUGAACACAUUAGGCUCCUCCCAAUUGUUGGGAUCGUUUUGUAUAGCCCAUGCAUUCACCAACAACAUGGUUCCACGCGGUAUACGGUACCCUCCCACUAAACAUUCUUUUGAUGACUCGUGAGGUACUAACAAUGGACCGGUGGGCUUGAUUCGAAAAGUCUCGUUAAUUAUACAAUGAAGAUAAAGAAGAUUGGGCAAAUCUGAUUCUUCGAUCAACCGAUUUUGUCCGACCACUGUAUCAAUUUCAAUUCGGGCUUUGUUCAAGACUUGG